UACGAAGGGUGCAAACGUUGCUCGGAAUUAUUGGGCGUAAAGCGCACGUAGGCGGCUUGGCAAGUCGGAUGUGAAAUCCCUCGGCUCAACCAAGGAAGUGCAUCCGAAACUGCUGAGCUUGAGUACUUAAGAGGAUCGCGGAAUUCCCGGUGUAGAGGUGAAAUUCGUAGAUAUCGGGAGGAACACCAGUGGCGAAGGCGGCGUCUGGGAAGAUACUGACGCUGAGGUGCGAAAGCGUGGGGAGCAAACAGG
rnacentral:rRNA from 1 species